rnacentral:rRNA from 1 species
GACGAACGCUGGCGGCGUGCUUAACACAUGCAAGUCGAACGGAAAGGCCCUGCUUUUGUGGGGUGCUCGAGUGGCGAACGGGUGAGUAACACGUGAGUAACCUGCCCUUGACUUUGGGAUAACUUCAGGAAACUGGGGCUAAUACCGGAUAGGAGCUCCUGCUGCAUGGUGGGGGUUGGAAAGUUUCGGCGGUUGGGGAUGGACUCGCGGCUUAUCAGCUUGUUGGUGGGGUAGUGGCUUACCAAGGCUUUGACGGGUAGCCGGCCUGAGAGGGUGACCGGCGACAUUGGGACUGAGAUACGGCCCAGACGCCUACGGGAGGCAGCAGUGGGGAAUAUUGCACAAUGGGCGGAAGCCUGAUGCAGCAACGCCGCGUGCGGGAUGACGGCCUUCGGGUUGUAAACCGCUGUCGCCUGUGACGAAGCGUGAGUGACGGUAAUGGGUAAAGAAGCACCGGCUAACUACGUG